UGAGAGAUAGAGAGAGAGAGAAAAAAAAAAAAGAUCAUCCCUCUCGAUGCUGUGGAUUAUGUUCUCAUCUAGGAUUACACUUUCAAUGUUAAGACACACAGGCUUGAGGUUUUAAUGGCGAUGGGUUAAUACUCCGGAUUUAACUCUACUAUUUAAAAGCAUAUCCUUCAUGCUGCGGCAAGUACACUAUCAGACUGGCGGGGAUCCAUACGUCUGACUACCACAUGCAACAGCGACCCUUUACCGAUCAGCAGGUGUUAAUGGCAGCUGCAAAGUAUCAGGAGAUGAGAGGUUUUUCACAUCACGGCUCAGCGCCUCAAAUUUCGCUGACCGAGAGCACCCCGGAUAUGAACAGGAAGUUGGUGUUGCUGCCGGGGAACCAGCUCCAGGUCCCCUUGGAGCAAGCCUAUGCCACCUCCAUCAAGGCGCAGUCACCUGAGGAACAGCAAAAGUUUAUGAAUGUCAUCCGUGGGCGCGUGGAGGACCAUUCCGGCUCCAUGGAUCCGAGUCAGAGUGCCCCCUGCACCCCCCGGCACACUGAUAGAAAACCUCUUGAUGAUAAAUGCAACAAAGAUUCCGAGAAGUUCUUCAACUUAUUGGCCAACACUCAGGGUCGCCGUCUCGAUGACCAGCGAGUGUCUCUCCCGUCGCUGCCUGGAAUCGACAACAAGGAUUCUCAAUCUGCCUCAGAUUCCAGCUACUUGUGCUACAUGGUCUCCAAAGUUCAGGGGAAUAGAAUGGACGACCAAAGAUGCUCCUUAAGUCAAAUCCAGCCUGCAGAGGAGGGCCAGUCAGCCAAAAAGGAUAACGCUGCUUCAGGCAUUUCACGCUCAGCCUCCUUCAGUCCAGGUUCAGACAAUGUUAAGAAAUCCCCCAUAAAGGACAUAAGUCCAGCUGAGCAGGACCAUUUCCUUUCCUUAAUGCAACACGCCCAGCGUGGGCGCAUGGACGAGCAGAGAUGUGUCCUGAAUGUCAGUCCCCAGUCUACACCGAAGCGUAAGCCCACCCAGAGCACUGCACCCACAGGUCCAGAUUCAGAGCAAUUCUUCAACAUGCUGGCCCACUCCCAAGCCAAACGUCUGGAUGAUCAACGUGUGUGUCUUCCAACUCUGCCGGGUAUCCAGAAUGGAGGCGCCUCUAAUGAUGCGAGCUAUUUGUGUUACAUGGUCUCCAAAGUACAGGGCUCUCGGCUUGAUGAUCAGAGAUGUUCUGCGCCUCAUAUUUUGCAAAAUUUGUGCACCCCGAACACCCAGCGCAAAGUCUAUAACACUUCAGAAGCACCUGAUAAAACGCUCAAGAGGUCAGGCUCCCUAAAGCAGGACAAAAGUGAUCACCAGCAGCAGAUCUCUGCGGCCGAGCAACAGCAAUUCUUAAAAAUCAUGAAUCACGCUCAGAGCGGACGCAUGCAGGACCAGCGUUGCUCUUUACAGCAAAGCAGAAGCACGCCUUCCUCUCCCAAACACAGCGGCAGCUCCCCAAAUGAAGUAGCAGCAGGUGCAGACGCAGAUGCAUUAUUUCGCAUGGUGGCCAGCUGUCAGGCUCGCAGGCUGGACGACCAGAGAGUCACUCUUCCCUCUCUGCCGGGGAUAAGUGGGAGGACGAGCGAGGACAAACACAACAGGAGCCGUGCAAAAGCUGGAAUUCCAGUUUGUGCACCACACAUAACCGUGGCUGAAAGUACACCACCGAUAUCCAGAAGCAACAACUCCACCCCUUCUACCUCUCAGCUGGGCUGCAGUAUAACAAAGUCGGCAUCCUUCAGCACGGAGACAGAAUAUCAGAAGGCGCUUAACUCCACAGCUCAGAUGACUGUGAAGGUGUCGAUGAGCUUCACACCACAGAUGGGGCAUAAGAACUUCAACCAGCCUUGCACGUUCCCAGAGGUCUACCUCACCCUCGGAGCUCCAGGAGAAAAUCUCGUCAUCCCUCUGAGUCCAAAACCCGGAAGACCCAUGUCUUUGAAUCUGAACCUCAUCCCCAAAGAAGACGUCAAGUCCACACACGGCUCACCAAGGAAACCCCGCUCCAGACCGUCAUCUCCCCAGCCCAAAGCGGCUCGUAAGGCCCAUUCUGGUAAUUCUUACCCUCCCGAACAGGGCGGGUCUGCGGCCAGCCCCAUCAGUCCGCAUGAAGACUGCUUCUCCGUGAUCGAGAAGGUUCACGCCACUCAUCUUCAAAUGGGAACCACUCAAGGGGGACACAAAUGCAAAGGGGAUGCGGUCAGAGUGAGGGGCAAUGGAAAAACCGGUGGAAAAACUAAGAAGGAUGGUGGGAAUAAACACUAAAUACUUUAUAUUUAUCAUCGUACUAAGACCAAAUCAGUAAAUCUAAAACAUUUAGUUUCUAUUAAACACACGUUCAAUUCCUCUGUAUUAUCAUCCGUCCAUCCAUUUUCUACACUGCUUUUCCUCUGCAGUGGGCCGUGGAGUAAACCUGGAGUUUAUAAUCAUAUAUAAUAAAUAAGCAUUCAUUCAUUCAUUUUCUUACGCUUAUCCUCACGAGGGUUACAGGGUAUGCUGGAGCCUAUCCCAGCUGUCUUCGGAGGAGAGGCGAGGUACACACUGGACUGGUCGCCAGCCAAUCACAGGGCUGGGAAAUAAGCAACUUUUCACAAAUAAAGGAAAUGGCUGUUGUAGGAAACCACAAGGUAUUUAUUGUAUGAGGUCAAAGGGGAUUCUGGAUCGGGUCUGAGUGGGUCGUUGACGAGUCUAUCCAUCCAUUUUCUGUAGUGGGUAUGCUGGAGCCUAUCCCAGCUGUAUUCAUGUACACUGGACUGGUUGCCAGCCGGGCGACCAGGACACACGCAUAUUAACAGACAACCAUUCACAUUCAUAAAUCUUGUCAAUUUAGAGUAAAAAAUUACAAUAAAAUAUUUAAUUAUUUGAGUAUACUUGUAAUAUUUUUUAAAUAUAUUUUAAAUUGGCAUCUUCUUCCUUGGUAUAUAGAAAUUGCAUUUUAUUUUGCUGAUUUUUUUUUUUUUUUUAAGAUGUUAACAUUGUGCUCUGAAAUCAAUUUUGCACAUGUAUUUGGGUGUAUUUUUGUGUUUUUUGUGUGUUUUUUCACCACCAAAAUGAGGGUCCCGGUAUGAGAACCACUUUUGACAUUAUUUGUAUUAUUAUAACUACACAAAUGUUUGUUGUUAUUGUUCAUGUUUGUUGACAUUUUUUGUGUGUAUGUCAAUGAAUGGCCUUUAAAGAAUUACUCAUUAUGGAAUGAUUCCAUAAUUCAUGCACUUUUCAUGUAAUUAGUGAACAACAUCCUGUUUUUUGCUCCACAUUUAUUGUUUUAUCUGAAGAUUUUACAGAAGACGGGGUUCAUAUUGUAUGAAUCCCUCCAAUGAUUCCACUGGACCUUAUUCGGCAGAGUCACUUCCCUGGAAAAGGACGAGGGUAGUAAUUGAGUCAUCCUUAAUAUUAAUGUUUCAAUCAUGUGACCAGUAUGUGUUUAACUCGUGUUUACCUUUCCAGCGUCACGGCUCUUGGCCCUCAGCUUGUUGACCUGGGACUCGGCAAUGUCAGCACGCUCCUGCGCCUCCUCAAGCUCAUGCUGGACCUUCCUAAGCCUGGACAUGUGAUGUGACUUACCCAGCAGCUCCGGCUUGUGUCCAGUCAUCAGCUGGUAGAAGAUAUGGUAGCUCCUCUCAGCAGACAACUGGAAGGUGACACGGGACUUCUCCAGCAGAUCUGAUUGUUUGUAGACACAUCGAAAUUGAUAACGAAGCCAAUUAUGUUUUUGUGAUAUCACAUGCAGGUAAUACUCACAUGUUUCAAUAUCAGCUGAGGCCAGCUUGCCACUCGUGGCAAAGUGGAUUCUGAUGAAUUUACCCUAAAAUGUUGACCAGGUACAUCUCAGUUUGGUAAUAGUAAAUAAGAUAUGCCUUUAUUUGUCCCUCAGUGGGGAAAUACAGAGAGUACAGAAUCAGUUAAGCAGUACAAAAUACACAAUAUAGAAAAAUAAACAAUAUAAACAACCCAAGUAUUAACAAAAUCAGUUUUUCCCAGAGUUAUAUACAAUACAGUAUGUAGAUAAUAUGAAACGAGAUGAAAUAUAUAUGACCGGUCUAUACACUGAGAUCUUGCUAGUGAGUUAAUAUGAAGCAUUAUGGAAAUAUUUCACAUAGAACUUAGUAUAUUGCAAAUAUACAACACUUAUUGUAGAGCGUUACACUUUGACGACUUACGAAGCGAGACGAGUUGUCAUUCCUCACGGUUUUGGCGUUACCAUAGGCCUCCAGCAGAGGGUUGGCUGCGAUGAUUUGAUCUUCCAGGGAACCCUACAUGGAAAUUAAAAAGCUCUCAACAUAAGCCAAGAACUAAAGAUUCAAUACUGGACCAUUGGCUGUCUGCAACUCAUUUUUUAAAUUGCCACUUGCAUAUUCUAUAAAUAGGCUGCACAGCGGACAAGUGGUUACAACGCAGGCUUCACAGCUAGGAGACAUGAGUUCAAUUCCAUUAUUUCAAGUUCAAUUAUUAUUCGUUUUCUCCGGGUAGUUCCUCCCACAUUCCAGAAACAUGCUAGGUUAAUUGGUGACUCCAAAUUGUCCAUAGGUAUGAAUGUGAGUGUGAAUGGUUGUUUGUCUAUAUGUGCCCUGUGAUUGGCUGGCGACCAGUCCAGGGUGUACCCCGCCUCUCGUCUGAUGACAGCUGGGAUAGGCUCCAGCACCCCCCGCGACCCUCGUGAGGAAAAAGCGGUAGAAAAUGAAAUGAAAUGAAAUAUUCUAUAAACAGCUCACAGCUAGGAGACCUGAGUUCAAUUCCAUUAUUUCAAGUUCAAUUAUUAUUCGUUUUCUCCGGGUAGUCCGGUUUCCUCCCACAUUCCAAAAACAUGCUAGGUUAAUUGGCGACUCCAAAUUGUCCAUAGGUAUGAAUGUGAGUGUGAAUGGUUGUUUGUCUAUAUGUGCCCUGUGAUUGUCUGGCCACCAGUCCAGGGUGUCUGAUGACAGCUGGGAUAGGCUCCAGCACCUCUGCGACCCUCAUGAGGAUAACAAUAGAAAAUGAAUGAAUGAAUGCUUACCUGUAUCUUGCCAGCACCUGCUUCAGCUUUUUUGCCUCCAGCCACUGCAAUUGUUGCAAAGUACUGGAUGACACGCUUGGUGUUGACAGUCUUUCCUGCACCGGAUUCUCCACUUGGGGGCAGGGGGGGAAUAUAAAAGUAACAUUAAGCAUUUUGUGUUCAGUGCUUUCUGAGUUUUUUUUCUGUUUGACUGUGUUAAACUCACGUGAUAAGUACAGACUGAUUCUCACGAUCUGCAAUUACAAGAAAAAACAAGGUGAAUAAAUAGCAUUUUUAUUUUAAAAGUUCAGCGUCAUCUUACCAGUGAGCAUGAACUGGUAGGCGUUAUCAGAGAUGGAGAAGAUAUGAGGCGGAGCCUCAAUCCUCUUCUUGCCUCUGUAGGCGUUGACCACCUGAGAAUCGUACACGGGAAGCCACUUGUAGGGGUUCACCACGACACAGAACAGGCCGGAAUAGGUCUGCGGGACCAAGAAGAGGACCAAUCAGUGUAGCUGUAGCAGAUUUCACUGUAGUCGUGUUUAAAAAUGGAGUCUUACGUAGAUCAUCCAUGAUGCAAAACGCUCUUUGAGGUUAUACAACACGGCAGGCUCGUUGAGGUGGGUCAUCAUGGCCAUGUCCUCAAUUUUGUCGAAUUUGGGAGGGUUCAUUGGAUGGAUGUCAUCUUCUUUGACAGUUACUGACUGUAAGGCAAAUACAGUAAAAAAAAAAAAAUCAGAAUGGACAGAUCAGGAUGGAUUUGAAGCCAUGGUGUCCUUACCUUUUUUGAAAUUAGAGUCUCAACAGUAGCUUUCCCCCCCUCUUUCUUGAUGACUUUAGCUUUGACGUACAUAUCUUCAGCAUCUACCACAAAGACGGCCGACUUGGCAUCAAACGGUGUGUUCUGAGCCUCAAUCCUCUCUUUUUCUGGCUUCCGCAGGUAAAUGGCUGCGGGGCCAUACUGCUCCAUCUCCGCGUCCGUGCUCAUGGUGGCACUUUAUUGGAGACUGAAAGAAGGCAGAUUUCACUCAGAUCUUUUCUCCAUCGUGACUUAAACUUAGUCAUCAGUCUGCUCUGCGGAUAUCAACAACCAGGUAAAAAUGGCAUAACAUUUACCUCUCAAUGUCUCAACAGAAGAAGAAAUCAAGUCAGAUCUGUUGUUAUGAUUCUAUAAAAUAGAAAUAGGAAUACGGGUCAUUGAUAUUUCAAUCAAAACAUGAUUGAAAACAAAAGUAACAAACACAAACCUGAGUUGAAAGCCUACCAGUCAUUGUCUUAGUCCUCGGCGCCGUCUUUUAUAGAAGACCACUGUCUCCUCAGAAGGUGUGACCUGCUCAGUUUGGUCAUGUAUUCUUGUCAUGUUGUCGCUAAUCCUGUGACAUUGACAUUUAGUGUCAUUGUGUUGCCUUGUGCCUAGUUUUAUGGCUGCCUCAUGUUUGCUCCCUGUGCCCAAGAUAAAUGGUGGUAAUGGACAGAAACAGGUCAAUAAACAAGGAUAUCAAAGGCUAACUUAUGUCAUAGUGUAGCUUUUUAAAUACUACUUAAGGUUAACUUUGUGCUCUCUCUCUAUUAGCAAGGGACAGUUUUAUUUAGCAAACUAAAAGAAAAACUUUGUUUGCAAAUUAAUUGUUGCCUAUGACGAUACUGCACUUGUGUACAAUACCAGGUACCGACUUUUUGGAAAAGCUUAUAAAUGUCACUGGUAUACAGUUGCAGAACAAGUCAUUAUUUCCGACUUUAUUCUUAAAAUUAAUUAGAAUUAAAUAUAAUUAAUUAUUAAUUAAUGAAAUUAAUUAUAUGGACAACAAAAUUAGUUUUCAGUUAAUUUAAUUAAUAACACAAGUAUGUGUGAUGA